UUUUUUUUUUUUUUUUCAAAAAAUUAUCACUAUAUCCCUAAAAAUUUUCAAAAUUUCAAGGGGUCCAUUGCCUCCCUUGGCCUCUAUGUGCAUCUGUCCCUGGGGCUUUUUUUCGAAGAUGAUGUUGUUUCCUAAUUCUUAUACUUUCAAGUUUCUUGUGAAUGGCUGGCGCUAAUUCCAUUCAUUGGCAUUGUCUUGGCAGGU
rnacentral:misc_RNA from 1 species